rnacentral:rRNA from 1 species
UACGUAGGGUGCAAGCGUUGUCCGGAAUUAUUGGGCGUAAAGAGCUCGUAGGCGGUCUGUCGCGUCGGCUGUGAAAUCCCGAGGCUCAACCUCGGGUCUGCAGUCGAUACGGGCAAACUGGAGUGUUGCAGGGGAGACUGGAAUUCCUGGUGUAGCGGUGAAAUGCGCAGAUAUCGGGAGGAACACCGGUGGCGAAGGCGGGUCUCUGGGCAACAACUGACGCUGAGGAGCGAAAGCGUGGGGAGCGAACAGG